AUGGACCUCAGGGUUGAAAAAUAUGCACACAAACUGUUUAGCAUACAGCAAAAUGCUUUUAUCAAAGGGAGGCAUAUAGUAGACGGCAUUUUAUCCUUGCAUGAGAUUAUGCAUUAUACUCAUGUCAAAAAACAAAAAGGGGUGAUACUCAAACUUGACUUUGAGAAGGCAUAUGACAAAGUCAAUUGGGACUUCUUAUUAGAAUGCCAUGUUAAACGUGGGUUUAACCAAAAGUGGUGUGGUUGGGUAAACCAGAUCCUGAGAAAUGGGACAGUCAGUGUGAAAAUCAACGACGAGAUGGGACCUUAUAUACAAAGUGCUAAAGGGGUAAGGCAAGGUGAUCCACAUUCUCCAUUCCUGUUCAAUGUUGCGGCAGAAUGUCUAACCAAGAUGAUGACCUCGGCCCAGAAAAAUGGCCUUGUCAAAGGGUUGGCGUCUGAUCUUAUAAAAGACGGAGUUGGGAUCUUGCAAUAUGCAGAUGAUACUGUCAUUUGCUUCGAGCAU
rnacentral:rRNA from 1 species